CAUGUCAUUCUAUUAGAGGUCUGUAAUUAAUUCCAUCCUCCGCACAGCUCUAGCGCAAGAACGAAAACAAAUAUUUUUCCCUUGUCUAAAAUACUUCUCGAUAAAAAAGAAAAGCAGCAGCUAGAUGAGUACCAUGAAAUCUUUCCGUGAAUGCAACAACAUUCUGUACCCUAGAGAAGACAGAGACCAAAAAAUCCUCCUCUACGCUUGCCGCAACUGUGAUCAGUGAUCACCAGCAAGUGGCUGAUAAUAACUGUGUGUACUGAAAGAGGUGCAUCACUCAGUAGCAGAGAAAACUCAGGUAUCAAGCUGCUACUUGCACUGUCUGCAAACAUCCUGAAGCUAUCUUCUUCCAGGCAACUUCUAAGACGCUGGUUUUUGUAUGCAACCCGAAUUGUGGCCAUAGGUGGAGAGAUUGAGAUUUAUCUGUCCAUCAAUCAAAGCUCUAAUUAGGACGCAUUUAGAAAUGUUUUCAAGACUGAUAUAGUUGAGAUCCCAUGCACGGGCGGGUUCUUAUCUGCUGAUUUUGUGGAGGUUUUUGCGAUCAUUUGAAUCAUGAAGGACAAUUAUAUAAUUACGGGAUGUUGUGUUGUUAUUAAUUAGAGUCAAGCCUUGGAAGCGAAGGAAUAUGAAGUAGAAACUAUUCAUACAUGGAUAUUGUGAUUAUAAAUUAGGUAAAAAACAUGUAUGAUUAUUAUUGGAAGCAAAGGAAGAGGAAAAUAGUUAUUCAAAUAUUGGAUAA